CGGCAACAGCUCAAAUUUGAAAUCUGGCGCAAGCCCGAGUUGUAAUUUGUAGAGGAUACUUUUGAUGCGGUGCCUUCCGAGUUCCCUGGAACGGGACGCCAUAGAGGGUGAGAGCCCCGUCUGGUUGGAUGCCAAAUCUCUGUAAAGUUCCUUCAAC
rnacentral:rRNA from 1 species